rnacentral:rRNA from 1 species
AUUGAACGCUGGCGGCAGGCUUAACACAUGCAAGUCGAGCGGAGAUGAGGUGCUUGCACCUUAUCUUAGCGGCGGACGGGUGAGUAAUGCUUAGGAAUCUGCCUAUUAGUGGGGGACAACAUUCCGAAAGGAAUGCUAACACCGCAUACGCCCUACGGGGGAAAGCAGGGGAUCUUCGGACCUUGCGCUAAUAGAUGAGCCUAAGUCGGUUUAGCUAGUUGGUGGGGUAAAGGCCUACCAAGGCGACGAUCUGUAGCGGGUCUGAGAGGAUGAUCCGCCACACUGGGACUGGAACGCGACCCAGACUCCUACGGGAGGCAGCAGUGGGGAAUAUUGGACAAUGGGCGGAAGCCUGAUCCAGCCAUGCCGCGUGUGUGAAGAAGGCCUUUUGGUUGUAAAGCACUUUAAGCGAGGAGGAGGCUACCUGGAUUAAUACCCUAGGAUAGUGGACGUUACUCGCAGAAUAAGCACCGGCUAACUCUGUGCCAGCCGCUGCAGUAACAC